rnacentral:tRNA from 1 species
GCUGAUCUGGUGUAAUUUGGUGCACACAUUCCUUUGAGAAUGAAGAGUGGGUUCAAAUCCCACCAUCAGCA